UACGUAGGGUGCAAGCGUUAAUCGGAAUUACUGGGCGUAAAGCGCACGCAGGCGGUUUGUUAAGUCAGAUGUGAAAUCCCCGCGCUUAACGUGGGAACUGCAUUUGAAACUGGCAAGCUAGAGUCUUGUAGAGGGGGGUAGAAUUCCAGGUGUAGCGGUGAAAUGCGUAGAGAUCUGGAGGAAUACCGGUGGCGAAGGCGGCCCCCUGGACAAAGACUGACGCUCAGGUGCGAAAGCGUGGGGAGCAAACAGG
rnacentral:rRNA from 1 species